GGCAGAUGAUGGUUUUUUUUCUCACGAUGGUCUGCGGAUGCCACUGCGGGCAGUGCCGAAAAUGCCAAUGGCUCAGCUGAUGCCAGGAG
ensembl:snoRNA